rnacentral:rRNA from 1 species
GGAAACGAUGGGAGCUUGCUCCCAGGCGUCGAGUGGCGGACGGGUGAGUAAUACUUAGGAAUCUGCCCAAUAGUGGGGGACAACUCGGGGAAACUCGAGCUAAUACCGCAUACGCCCUACGGGGGAAAGCGGGGGAUCUUCGGACCUCGCGCUAUUGGAUGAGCCUAAGUCGGAUUAGCUUGUUGGUGGGGUAAAGGCCUACCAAGGCGACGAUCCGUAGCUGGUCUGAGAGGAUGAUCAGCCACACUGGGACUGAGACACGGCCCAGACUCCUACGGGAGGCAGCAGUAGGGAAUAUUGGACAAUGGGCGAAAGCCUGAUCCAGCAAUGCCGCGUGUGUGAAGAAGGCCUGCGGGUUGUAAAGCACUUUCAGUAGAGAAGAAAAGCUUAGGGAUAAUACUCCUGAGUCUUGACGUAACCUACAGAAGAAGCACCGGCUAACUCCGUGCCAGCAGCCGCGGUAAUACGGAGGGUGCGAGCGUUAAUCGGAAUUACUGGGCGUAAAGCGCGCGUAGGCGGCUUGGUAAGUCGGAUGUGAAAGCCCUGGGCUUAACCUGGGAACUGCAUUCGAUACUGCUGAGCUAGAGUAUGGUAGAGGGAAGUGGAAUUUCCGGUGUAGC